UAGGCUUCAGUUACAUGAACAUAUGUGAAUAAAAUUUGCUUGCUAAUCAAAGCAUAGUAACUUUGUUCUAGGACAUGAUAAGGUCAUGGAUACUAACCUGCGGUGAUUUUACCAGCUAAACCAUCUGGACCAGAUGGCUUCCCUCCUUUCUUCUUCAAGAGAUUAUGGGCUAAUAGUGAAAGUAGUGCAAAAGUUCUUCACCACAGCAUCACCAUA
rnacentral:lncRNA from 1 species